UACGGAGGGUGCAAGCGUUGUCCGGAUUUAUUGGGUUCAAAGGGUGCGUAGGCGGCUUUUUAAGUCAGCGGUGAAAUACUUCGGCUCAACCGAGGAACUGCCGUUGAUACUGGAAGGCUUGAGUACUGAUGAAGUGGGCGGAAUUGAAGGUGUAGCGGUGAAAUGCAUAGAUAUCUUCAAGAACACCGAUUGCGAAGGCAGCUCACUAAGGAGUAACUGACGCUGAGGCACGAAAGCGUGGGUAGCAAACAGG
rnacentral:rRNA from 1 species